GUUGAGUUCUAGGAGCAGUAACUGCUAGAGUACGGGUGGCUUGUAAAGCUUUGGAGGGGAGAAGAAUGUGAGACGGCUGCAAGGGGAGGAAAGGACUUUUAAAUACCAAAUAGCAAGACGCAGCACUGACUCCAGGUGUCUCCCUUCUGCUGAUCCACCUGUGCAGCGCUGAGUGGGCUGGCCACGGGAUAAUCCCAGAGGAGAGUAAAUAUAAAUGGCCCGCUCUGCCAUAAGCAGGGGUGUAGAGAGAUGCAGAGAUAGAGACGCAGAGACUUUCUCUUGCUCUUGUUUCCUGCUGAGAUUACCAAUAAAGAAAGGCAGGUUGGCCUUUUAACUCCGGUCUUGUCUCCAAGUCUAUCCGAGGAAGACUGAUGAUAAAACUGAAUCACCAGAGAGGAAAAACGACUUGCUUGAGUCAGAUCAAACAAUAGAAGAUUGGAGGCGAGUGUACAGUAGAGACUCUGAGGUUUGGAAAAAGUCAGAAGAGAGACAAAUGGGUUUCCCCGCCCCCUGUCUGCCAUCCCCCAGAAGAACGUGGUAAGAAAAGAGUGUGUUCAGCACCAGCCAAAAGAGAGAGCUCUGCACCAACUCCAGAAAUCAAGAAAAGCUGGGAGGGCUCCCUGAUAGGAGCAGAGGAGGAGCUGGUCCUGUGGACACGGAUGCCUGGCCAUUUAUUAGACGGAUGAUGAGCAUGAAGCUAGAUUUUGAAGGCGAUAAGCACCAGGGAGAGGGGGAUGUUUAAUAUUGUGGGACAGAGUUCAGACACUAGAUUGGGAUGAGGCUAGAAGUCACUGGGAGAAGAUUGCUCCUCCCAUCCCGGGAAGGUCUAGUCCAUCAGGGACAGACAGGUCUUUACUGAUGCUUUGGCCACCUGUCCCCAAGCCAGGAUGGAGGCUGUGGGUGAAAGAUUUCCUGCUCCACAGCACUUGUGCCCCAAGAUCUCCAGCUUGGCCAUACUGGCCCUCCUUGUGUGCGCUCGUCUCAUCAGAAUUGGCCUUUGCAUUUGGUACUGGACCAGACCAACCAGGGCUCUGUCUUGGAGGAUUUCCGGGAAGCCCUUAUUCUAUUUCUGAAUGUCACUGGGAGAGAAUUAAGGACCCCCUGACCCCCUGGGGGAGUGAACAUUUACUCAGGAGCCAAUCAGAUGCUUUGGGGAUUUGGGGAGUCAGAAUGGUUCUGUGGAAAGAUGCCCAAACUCGAAGCCAGAAAACCUGGACUUCCAAGAACACGAAGAAGAUCUCCUGGCUUUGCCAGUUAAUAGUAGACUUUGAGCAAGUCAUCUUGCCCCUUUAGGCUGCGGUUUCCCUUCCCACAAAACAAGGAGCCAAGUGGAUUAGAAAUUGUGCUCUACUGUUUCUUGUUCUUCCAGAUCCUCCAGUCCCAAGUCCUGCCUCCUUUGCCAUUAGCUGGCUGGAUUUCAGGAGUUGAAGCCUCAGUUUUUUCCCUUGCGAGGUAGAGACAAUAAUAACUUUGACUCCCUCGCUGAAAGGGCCACUAUGAAGGUCAGUGGCUUGUAAACUGGAGAGCCUGCUGCUGCUGCUAUUCUGGGGUAAUCCUGGAAAAGCAGCCCCGUGGCAGUCCCAGCUUUCUCAAUGGCGUCUCUUUAUCUUUUGUCCCAAUCUGAGAGAAAAGGGGGAGAGUGUGUAUCUGUGAGGUGGGGGUGAGGGGAAAGGGGGUACCCUCCAUCUAAACAAAAUAAAAUGAAAUGAAACAAAGCAACUUAUUUAAGUUUAUAGGGAGGUCAGGGUGCUUAAUUUAGGACUUUUCUGCUGAUUGGGAUUUGUUUAGGAGACAAAUUUGUUCUGCAUGAACAAGUUAGGGGUAUUUUUUUUUCUCCUCUGAUUCACUUAACAGAAGGCAAUUGUAAGAACUAGUUAUGGCAGGAAUUAUGACCUGAGAGCACCAGUCGGCUUGAAUUAAAUAAUUCUACAUUUGCAUUGUGAUUAUAUCUAAUUUGAAUUUUACUUCCUGCCUAAACAUUUGGAAGAGCUAUACACAGCCUGCGGGUGGUUUCCGGAAUUAAAGUCCCUAGUAGAAGUCAAGGUUUAGGAAGGAGGGCAGCAUGACUCAUGGGCUUAUUAGGAUCCACUUUGAUUGAGGGAAUAGUUUUAAUGGGGAAUUGUUGAUUGAAGGUGACAACUGGCUGUGCUAGACCACAAUCCUUUGCGGAUCCCAGUGAGUGAACAAGAGGCAGGAAAGGGGGUGUAUGGGAACCAGAUCAGCUGAGAAGGGCUCGGUGGCAGGGAAGCCCCGACUAUGUCCAAAGAGAAGGGCCUUGGAAGGCAAGUUCCAUUAGUCUAGCUGGCCCUUAGCAGCAUGGCCUGGAAAGCAGCUGAAGGGGAGGGGAGGGAGAAUUGAAGUAACGUUCCUGCUGCUUACCCGGAGGCCUUGCCUGAAGUGCUUUACCCCUCUUGGUCUCCUCUUUAUCAUCUGAAAAACGGGGAUAACGAAACUCGCCUUGCCUGCAUCUGAUAGAAAGAUCAUGUGUUUGUAAAGUGUUAAACCCUAUAUGGGCCCGAUCUUAUUAUUGGGUGCUGUUGGUGCUGUAAUAACUCCCUCUCUGCUUCCCUUGCUGGAGCUUUUGACUUCCCCAUCAAUGAACUGAGCUGCGAUUUAGUCACUUACCAUGGACUCCAGGUUCCUCACCUGGAGAGUGAAGGGAUUGUACUUGAUGGCUUCUCAAAUCCCUUCCUACUCUAAAUUCACAAUACUGGGAAGAUGUAGCAUUUUGUAGAUUUCGGUCUAGGAAAACAUGACUGGUUCUUUCUGAUGCUUUCAUCAAGGACACCUUCAACAUACACACAGGUCUUUUUCAUUAUUGAUAGAAUUCGGCAGGUUUCUGUCGUUGCUGAUGUCUUCCUAACUACUUUUUUUUUAAAUUUUUGUAAAAAUUUGUUAUUGCCUUUUGAUUGUUUUACAUUCUCUCCUAUCUUUUGUCAUGGAUGUGACCUGGGUUCUUAAAGAUAAUCAGUAGAAUACAAGUUCUAGAAGGUUUGUUUUUAACCAACUUAACAAAGGUGCUAAGGACCAAUUUAACAAAAUAUAGGAAGUCUCAGCCCUGGAGUGAGCUUCAAAGGGGGCCAAAUAGUUUAGUCCAGGUGACUGAAUAAAACUGGGCAAAAAAUGGUCCCAUUCCUUGUAGUGUCAUUCACUUCUAUUGUGGCAACGGAGUAGGGGGGAAAGGGAACAGGAAUGCUAGGAGUCAUGCAGCUAUUAAACUCUUCAGUACUCUUAAUAUGGGAUAUUUGCUCAAUAGUUAAAAAGAUGAUACAAUAUUGGAUUCACUGAACCAUAUACAUAUUGACAUUAUCAGUAUAAACGAAACCAGAAGACAUAAAUUAGUUGUUGCUAAAUAGGACAGCUUAAAAGUUAUUUUCAGAGAAGUAAAUAAAGAAAUUGGAGGAGAUGGUUUCAUUGUGUGCCAAAGGCAACAAGAGAAAAUUUCAUGGUACACUUGGUCAUCUAGCCUUCCAGUGCUCAUGACUACCAAUAAGCAAGCAGACCACCGUGAAGACAAUUGUAGCUAAUACCCCGACAUCUGUUCCAUGGAAUGAGCAAUUCUUACAAGAAUUUGAGAUGAUUCUCCCAAACUUUGCCAAUAUGUAUCUUGGCAUUUAUGACUGAUUCAAAGAGCACACAGAGGAAGAGAACAAAGAUUAUUAAAAGAUAUGGCCGUGGCUCAAGAAAUGGAAGAGCCAAAACUUCAUGCUUGGGCUCUAUCCUUCAGGAACAGAGUUGGAAAGUGGGGAACACUGAAGAACAUCACAAAAAAUGAAAUAGACUUAAUCUUAAUGGGUUGAUUAAUGGGUUGACCCUGGAAAUCCCCUGAGAUUUAGCUGUCUGAAGGCAGUCG